UGGGGAAUAUUGCACAAUGGAGGGAACUCUGAUGCAGCGACGCCGCGUGAACGAAGAAGGCUUUCGAGUCGUAAAGUUCUUUUAUAUGGGAAGAUAAUGACGGUACCAUAAGAAAAAGCCCCGGCUAACUACGUGCCAGCAGCCGCGGUAAUACGUAGGGGGCUAGCGUUGUCCGGAAUCACUGGGCGUAAAGGGUUCGCAGGCGGAAAUGCAAGUCAGGUGUAAAAGGCAGUAGCUUAACUACUGUAAGCAUUUGAAACUGCAUAUCUUGAGAAGAGUAGGGGUAAGUGGAAUUUUUAGUGUAGCGGUGAAAUGCGUAGAUAUUAAAAAGAAUACCGGUGGCGAAGGCGACUUACUGGGCUCAUUCUGACGCUGAGGAACGAAAGCGUGGGUAGCAAACAGG
rnacentral:rRNA from 2 species